rnacentral:lncRNA from 1 species
GUUGCCUGAGAGUAGAACUGUAUUUGAGAUAUGGAAAUGCCUAUCUUAUAUAUAAAAAGCAUUGUUGUUACCUGGCUGAGCUCCAGUUCCGCUUCCUUGGUGAUUGGGACCAUCCUCCACAUCCUGUGUGGACUGGGGCUCUUCCUCCUGUUCCUUCCCUCCCUCCAGAGGAAUUUGCCCUUACAACCACCUUACAAAAGGAGAAACGUCAGGAAGCGUCAAAUGAAGCUGAGAGGGAGGAGCAGCAGGAGCAGGAAGAAAAAGGGAGCUUUGAAAGCACACAGGGAAGAGGCCAUCUGAGGACACAACCAGAAGGAGGCCCUCUACAAGCCAGGAAGAGAGCCCUCGCCAGAAGUCAACCUGAUGGCACCUUGAUCUUUGACUUCAAGCCUCCAGAACUCUGAGAAAAUACAUUUCUGUUGCUUGAACCACCUGGUCUGUGGUAUUUCAUUAUGGCAGCCCAAGCAGAGUAAUACAGAAGGCCAGGCCCCUAGAUCCUGGAAAAGUCUUGCUCUUUGCUGAGGUGCCUGUUAAAAUUUAACGUAUUCAUGAGCUAAUUCAAGUUCUCCAAGGGCUGACCACCCUGGGGAAAGACACAUCUCAACAAACUCGCUGAUGGUUUGAACAAAAUGCAGUAUAUGCUCCAAGGCUCCAAGGGGAAAGGCACUCCAUGAUCGAAAGAGGAUAGCAUCUCUGUGGUUCAACAUUUCCUUUCCAGAAAACAUCAGCAUUCUGAGAGAAUUUAAUUCUCGUAUCUGUAAACACCUUGGAGGUAUUUUCCUGUACUACUCAGUAAGCUAUGUAUUCCUGUUUUCAUCCUGUAGUGACUUUCAAGUGCUUAGCAUGUUGUCUAGAAGACACUAGGCCCUUGGAUAUUAUUUGUCAACUUCAUGUGAACUUCAGAAGAAAAUACCAAUGACUGCAUUUCUGAAUUUCACUCCUCCUCAAGAAGCAAUAGCAGUAGACAGACAGCCCGGAAGGCAUAGAAGGGUGCUUAGAGAGGAAGAUAGAUCAAAGGAAGAAUUGCUUUUCCAUCACACACUCCACCUGGACAGGCUGCUUUGGUUCCUAGAGCUUGGCAGUGCUUGUGCUUCUAUCAAAGCGCUUGGAACAGAAGCUCUUUCUCUACAGCACCCUUCUGCUCCUAAAAUAUGACCUAAACCUCUCCUCUCAGACCCUUCUGGAAGGUUAUAAAACAAAUUCCAAACAACAAGGACUGGAAGGACAAGCUCGUGAACACUAGUGCAUAUGGGAAUACCGCUCGUUACACCACAUAAUGGACUAGUUUGAUUAGCUACCUGUCUUACUGUAUUGUCUUUAGCUCCCAAACAGAAAAAAGCAAGAAUAAUCCCUUAUACAGAGUUUAUUAUACAUGCUCACAUAUGAUAAAACAUUCAUUUCACUUCA